CAGCUGUGGAAGCCAGGGUCUCUGGCAGUCCUUGUCUCUGGGCGGUGAUCCAGAAAGAGAGAGAACACGAUUGUCUCAGCACUGGGUCUUCUUCUGAGUCAUCUUGAAGGAGCAAUUCCAGAGCGUCUCGGUGUUAAACAUCAUGUUGUGAAUGACUCAGUGAUCUCUGACCCAGAGACCUUGGGGAUAAAGGAGGGGAGGUACGGAGAAGCUCUUCGAAUGGAUGUUACCGGCGUGUCAGUGUUCUUUGAGGCCACAGGCUAUGUGUCACCAAAUUGAAGGGGUGGCCUGCCCCUCCACACCUGUGGGUAUUUCUAGUCGGGUGGGAUGAGAGACAGAGAAAAGAAAUAAGACACAGAGACAAAGUACAGGGAAACAACAGUGGGUCCAGGGGACUGGCACUCAGCACACCAGGACCUGCACGAGCACUGGCCUCUGAGUUCCCUCAGUUUUUAUUGAUUAUGAUUUUCAUUAUUUCAGCAAAAAGGAAUGUAAUAGGAGAGCAGGGUGAUAAUAAGCAGAAUGUCAACAAAAAACAUGUGAGCAAAAUAAUCUAUAUCAUAAUUAAGUUCAAGGGAAGGUAUAUGACUGGACUUGCAUGUAGUCGACAUUUAUGUUUCUCUCCACCCAAACAUCUCAGUGGAGUAAAGAAUAACAUGGCAGCAUUACUGCAACAUGUCUCGCCUCCCGCCACAGGGCAGCUUUUAUCCUAGCUCAGACUUGAACAAAUGUACAAUCGGGUUUACACCGAGACAUUCAAUUCCCAGGGGCAAGCAGGAGACAGUGGCCUUCCUCCAUCUCAACUGCAAGAGGCUUUCCUCUUUUACUAAUCCGCCUCAGCACAGACCCUUUACGGGUGUCAGGCUGGGGGACAGUCAGGUCUUUCUCAUUCCAUGAGGCCAUAUUUCAGACUAUCACAUGGGGAGAAACCUUGGACAAAACCCUGCUUUCAAGGGCAGGGCUCCCUGCGGCUCUCCACUGUGCAUUGUGCCCCUGGUUUAUUGUGACUAGAGAAUGGCAAUGACUUUUACCAACUUUACUGCUUGUAAACAUUUGGUUAACAAGGCACGUCCUGCACAGCCCUAGAUCCCUUAAACCUUGAUUUUAGACAACACAUGUUUUUGUGAACUCCAAGUUGGGUCAAAGUGACUGGGGCAAAGUGGCUGGGGCAAAGCUACAAAUGAACAACAUCUCAGCAAAGCAAUUGUUAGAGUACAGGUCUUUUUCAAAGUGGAGUCUCUUAUGUCUUCCCUUUCUACAUAGACACAGUGACAGUCUGAUCUCUCUCUUUUCCCUACAUUUCCCCCUUUUCUUUUUAACAAAACCGCCAUCGUCAUCAUGGCCCCUUCUCACUGGUCGCUGUCUCUCCGGAGCUGCUGGAUACACCUGUAGACUAACAAUAGAGAGGACAGACAUACAAAAAUUAAUACAAAAUUUGCAAUAGUGGAAUUUCCAAUGGUUUUAACCCAAGUGACAGGGUUAAGAUUUGUGAGGCUAUCAACAGCUUUUACCAUUGCCUCCGUUUCUGACACCAGAUUUAACUGGGCUUUUGAGGUUUCAAAAAUUUGUUCUUUCAAUUUAGAAAUAUCUAAGGUAAGAUUAUCUUCUCUUCCUUGUAGAUGGCGUCUAACCAUGUCCCAGUGAUGUUCAGGUUCAUUAUAGGCUCAAGGUUUAAUACAAAAAUCUGACGUAUUCCAGUCACACUGUAACUGAAAAAGAUAUUCUAAGCUCAUGAGCCUAUCUCCCAUCCAAAUAACAGUUUGUCUAAGAUCAUUAAUUUGAUUUGCCAAUUUUUGAUCUAUUUGAGUCUGAGAAUUCCACAAUUUUGAGGAAUUCUUUUGCCAAUUAUUCACAUAUUCUGCAGUUUGAACAGAGGAGUGUAAAGAAAUUCCAGCAGCCGCAGCAGUAGCUGUGACUGCAAUAAGACCCACAAUCACUGCAAUCAAAGUAAAAAUGGAUCUUUUAGAUCUAGUUAGAACUCCUUUUAAUACUUAAGAUAUGUACGGAUGGAGAAGCGUCCCAUGGUCGAUCCAUGGACAAAGGGAUCCACACGCCUUCUCUUGCCCUUACUAACAGAAUACCAUUCUACCAAUCAAAAGUUGAAUCAAUGCAAGUAAACAAUCUACAAUUUUCACUGCUUGUAGUUUGGGAAUCUGGUUUAAUAGCUAUGUUUCCUACAACUAGCAUAUAAGGGGGUUUUACACAACUUUGCAAAGGAAUUUUCAGAUUGUAAUUUAGGUUAAUAGUAUAAUAUGGCUUAUGGUUUCUUGUUCCCAUAACUUGAUUUCCAGACAAAAUUCUAAUGUGGUACGAGGCCACAGUGAGCUUCCAUAAUUCUGGGUGUUCAGGACCAACAACAGGACUAACUAACUUUGGUCGGGGUGAUGAAAUCCUCUUUUCACCCCAUUUCCAUGGAUAGGGUGAUUCUCACCUUCUAUAAACCUAGUCUAGCCUUUUAGUUAAAUCACUAUCAUAGGCCGGAUUAGUGGGCCAGGCAGAUGGAGCCUGUGAACAUGAGUGGGUCUGGCCCAUAGAGUCAUAAUAUAAUUGGCCUCGAGGGGCCUAGUCUAUAAUAGUUCCAAAUUUAUUGUUUUGUAGUACCACUGCAGUAUCAGCCACACAUUCUUCCCAAACUAAGACUUCUGGGUCUUUUGAUUCUUUUGGAAUUUCCUUGGGGCAUGGUUUCCUUUAGGCCUAAAUUUUAAUGAUCUUUGAUAGGAAGAAUUCUGUAAAUGAUUCAUUUGUGACCCGAGUGACAUUCCACUUAUCAUAUGAUAAGUAAAUUUACUGGUGGCACUGACAGUAGGUACUUCUAUCAACCAAUUUUGGAUUGUAGGCAUUAAGCAUCCUGGUGCUUUUCCCAGGCAAAUAGGAGGAUAAUGAUACCCAAUGGAAAUGUUUAUCAUCAUUCCUUCUUCUUCAGGUUGGGCAGGGCCACGGUCAUCUGUGGGGCCUGGUACCCAUUCACUGUUAUUAACAUAUACUUUAAUAGGAUUAUCUAUCCAAGUGACUGCCCGAAUUAAGGGUGGGAAAAUCACAUAGGCCCAGUAAGUAUAGUUAGCUGUAGCGGCUCCUGAAGACAUAGGGAGACUUAACCACCGUUGAUACAAUCAUUAAAGCUGCAAGAAGCAUAUUCUCUGGAGUCUGUGUUACCCUUGUGUUUUCCAGGCUUUUUUCAGCUAACUGUGUCAGCUUCUUUAGCUGGGCCCAGGUCGGCGGCCCCACUUUCUUGGUGGAUGGCAACUUCAUCUGUCCUUCUGAUAUCACCAUUUUGUUCACCCUGCGAGUCGUUGAUGUUCGAUUGCGGGUUCUCUGUCUCUGCGGAGGCGCCUUCCCUUGCAUCUCUGAUGGGUUCAUUAUAGAACUUCAAAUGUCUAGUGGGUAGCCAAACAGGAAGCUGAUUUUCUCCUGGUGAAACACAAGCAAAACCUCCCCCCCAUGUUAUCACCUUACCUAUUUCCCAUGUUUUAUUUUGUUGUCUUUCCACCAAAUCAGUUUUCCCUCAUGUGGGCUGUUCUUUUUACCAGUAAAAUGUUGUUCUGCAGAAGUAAUGGUCUGAUUUCUAUAUAUAUUUAAAAAAUUUAAAGUAUAGAGUGCUAGAUUAAGUUGCAUCUGGGGAGUGUUAUAUUCCUUACUUUUUCCUUUUUUUGUUUAACCAAUUGAGCUUCGAGUGUUCUAUUAGUUGUUUCCAUUAUAGCCUGUCCUUGGAAAUUAGGGAUUCCUGUUGUAUGUGUAAUUUUCCACUGAUUUAAGAAUUUUUGAAAUGCUUUACUACAGUAUCCUGGCCCAUUAUCUGUUUUAAUUUUUUCUGGAAAUCCACUGACUGCAAAACAAGAUAAUAAAUGUCUUUUAACAUGGGAAGUACUUUCUCCUGUCUGGCAGGUUGCGCAUAUGAAAUGUGAAUAAGUAUCAACUGUCACAUGGACAAGUGACAAUUUUCCAAAUGAAGGUACAUGUGUGACGUUCAUUUGCCAUAAUGCAUCAGGACUUAAACCUCUAGGAUUAACUCCUGCCUCUUGAGCGGGCAGGUGUAAGACUUGACACUGAGCAUAAUGUUGUACAACAUUUUUUGCUUGUUUCCAUGUGAUAUCAAAUUUGUUUUUUAAUCCUGUUGCAUUUACAUGAGUCAGGGCCUG
rnacentral:lncRNA from 1 species